rnacentral:rRNA from 1 species
GAUGAACGCUGGCGGCGUGCCUAAUACAUGCAAGUCGAGCGAAUGGAUUAAGAGCUUGCUCUUAUGAAGUUAGCGGCGGACGGGUGAGUAACACGUGGGUAACCUGCCCACAAGACUGGGAUAACUCCGGGAAACCGGGGCUAAUACCGGAUAACAUUUUGAACCGCAUGGUUCGAAAUUGAAAGGCGGCUUCGGCUGUCACUUAUGGAUGGACCCGCGUCGCAUUAGCUAGUUGGUGAGGUAACGGCUCACCAAGGCAACGAUGCGUAGCCGACCUGAGAGGGGGAUCGGGCACACUGGGACUGAGACGCGGCCCAGACUCCUACGGGAGGCAGCAGUAGGGAAGCUUCCGCAAUGGACGAAAGUCUGACGGAGCAACGCCGCGUGAGUGAUGAAGGCUUUCGGGUCGUAAAACUCUGUUGUUAGGGAAGAACAAGUGCUAGUUGAAUAAGCUGGCACCUUGACGGUACCUAACCAGAAAGCCACGGCUAACUACGUGCCAGCCGCCGCGGUAA